rnacentral:rRNA from 1 species
UACGAAGGGGGCUAGCGUUGCUCGGAAUCACUGGGCGUAAAGCGCACGUAGGCGGAUUGCUAAGUCAGGGGUGAAAUCCUGGAGCUCAACUCCAGAACUGCCUUUGAUACUGGCGACCUUGAGUCCGGGAGAGGUGAGUGGAACUGCGAGUGUAGAGGUGAAAUUCGUAGAUAUUCGCAAGAACACCAGUGGCGAAGGCGGCUCACUGGCCCGAUACUGACGCUGAGGCACGAAAGCGUGGGGAGCAAGCAGG